AUUGUAAAAUGUUGAAUACAGUAGCCUUAUGUAAACGGCUUGUAAACGAUUCUGCUGAUAUGGAAAAAAUAAAACACACUGUUUCAUUUAAAAACCAAAACCACACCGCACUUCCCCUCCUCAGUUUCCCUCUCCUCAAUUCCCUCCCUCUCUGCAUUUCUUUCGCAUGAAGAAAUUGACUCCCACACUGAGUCGAAGAUGAUUCCAUCGCAGCCUCAGGUUCGUCUCCCACUGAAGCGAUUCUCUCUCUCUCUCUCUCUCCCCCCCCCUCUUCUGCGUUCCCUAAAUCAGAUUUGUAGUAAUCGUAGUCAUUUCUAUGUGGGUACUGUGGGUGUUUAUAUUUUUCCCGUCGUUGGGUCUAAAGUGCAUUGUGUUAUCUCUGAUUUCACUCCAUUUCAAGAUUAAGCCAAUCAAAUCUAUGGAUGUAGGAGUUUAUUGUUGUUGUUGUUGGGUUUGGGAAUUAAUUGUUGGUGGAAAAGAAAGGAGUUGGAGUAGUUCGAGAGACCUAGCCCAUUAGAUCUUGAAGGAUUUGGGUGCUGGUAUUUGCUUCUUGAUCUAUAAAUACAAGUUCAGGGAAAUAGCUAGAGCAAAAAUCAACAACUUACUUGAAAAUGUAAAAGAAAUAUAAACAACGGUAGAACCAUAGAAGAAUGAACUAAAAAAUAUUCCUUAGCCAAACCGAUGAAGAGAAAAGAAAAAGAAAAAAAAAAGUAGAGCUUUUCUAGAUUAUUCUCGGAUGCUUAAGCAAACUAUAUGUUCUUUUCAGCAAAAGAAAGAGUGAGUCUCUUCUGCUAGUUAUGAUGCAGUUGCUGAACGAACAUGGAACUAAAGACCAAAGAGAGCGUAAAAGACCAAAGAGAAAAAAAGAAGACCCACGAAGACGAAGACGAGACCCACGUUGUUACAUGUCGUGGUCUUGUUCUUGUUUUUGCUGGACUAAGAACUUUUUACGAAAUGCUGAACACAUCAAGAGAUCCCUCCCUUUCGAAGACGAAGAGUUUGGUACUUGUUUGAAACUUUUUUUUCUUUCAAAUGUCUUUUUUUUUCUACUUUUGCCUGUUCUCUCUCUCUCUCUCU